GACGAACGCUGGCGGCGUGCUUAACACAUGCCAGUCGAACGGAAAGGCCCUGCUUGCAGGGUACUCGAGUGGCGAACGGGUGAGUAACACGUGGGUGAUCUGCCCUGCACUUCGGGAUAAGCCUGGGAAACUGGGUCUAAUACCGGAUAGGAGCCAGUUUUAGUGUGAUGGUUGGAAAGUUUUUUCGGUGUAGGAUGAGCUCGCGGCCUAUCAGCUUGUUGGUGGGGUAAUGGCCUACCAAGGCGGCGACGGGUAGCCGGCCUGAGAGGGUGGACGGCCACAUUGGGACUGAGAUACGGCCCAGACUCCUACGGGAGGCAGCAGUGGGGAAUAUUGCACAAUGGGCGCAAGCCUGAUGCAGCGACGCCGCGUGGGGGAUGACGGCCUUCGGGUUGUAAACUCCUUUCGCUAGGGACGAAGCUUUUUGUGACGGUACCUAGAUAAGAAGCACCGGCUAACUACGUG
rnacentral:rRNA from 1 species